rnacentral:rRNA from 1 species
UUAAGCGACUAAGCGUACACGGUGGAUGCCCUGGCAGUCAGAGGCGAUGAAGGACGUGCUAAUCUGCGAUAAGCGUCGGUAAGGUGAUAUGAACCGUUAUAACCGGCGAUUUCCGAAUGGGGAAACCCAGUGUGAUUCGUCACACUAUCAUUAACUGAAUCCAUAGGUUAAUGAGGCGAACCGGGGGAACUGAAACAUCUAAGUACCCCGAGGAAAAGAAAUCAACCGAGAUUCCCCCAGUAGCGGCGAGCGAACGGGGAGGAGCCCAGAGCCUGAAUCAGUGUGUGUGUUAGUGGAAGCGUCUGGAAAGGCGCGCGAUACAGGGUGACAGCCCCGUACACAAAAAUGCACAUGCUGUGAGCUCGAUGAGUAGGGCGGGACACGUGGUAUCCUGUCUGAAUAUGGGGGGACCAUCCUCCAAGGCUAAAUACUCCUGACUGACCGAUAGUGAACCAGUACCGUGAGGGAAAGGCGAAAAGAACCCCGGCGAGGGGAGUGAAAAAGAACCUGAAACCGUGUACGUACAAGCAGUGGGAGCCUCUUUAUGGGGUGACUGCGUACCUUUUGUAUAAUGGGUCAGCGACUUAUAUUCUGUAGCAAGGUUAACCGAAUAGGGGAGCCGAAGGGAAACCGAGUCUUAACUGGGCGUUAAGUUGCAGGGUAUAGACCCGAAACCCGGUGAUCUAGCCAUGGGCAGGUUGAAGGUUGGGUAACACUAACUGGAGGACCGAACCGACUAAUGUUGAAAAAUUAGCGGAUGACUUGUGGCUGGGGGUGAAAGGCCAAUCAAACCGGGAGAUAGCUGGUUCUCCCCGAAAGCUAUUUAGGUAGCGCCUCGUGAAUUCAUCUCCGGGGGUAGAGCACUGUUUCGGCAAGGGGGUCAUCCCGACUUACCAACCCGAUGCAAACUGCGAAUACCGGAGAAUGUUAUCACGGGAGACACACGGCGGGUGCUAACGUCCGUCGUGAAGAGGGAAACAACCCAGACCGCCAGCUAAGGUCCCAAAGUCAUGGUUAAGUGGGAAACGAUGUGGGAAGGCCCAGACAGCCAGGAUGUUGGCUUAGAAGCAGCCAUCAUUUAAAGAAAGCGUAAUAGCUCACUGGUCGAGUCGGCCUGCGCGGAAGAUGUAACGGGGCUAAACCAUGCACCGAAGCUGCGGCAGCGACACUAUGUGUUGUUGGGUAGGGGAGCGUUCUGUAAGCCUGUGAAGGUGUGCUGUGAGGCAUGCUGGAGGUAUCAGAAGUGCGAAUGCUGACAUAAGUAACGAUAAAGCGGGUGAAAAGCCCGCUCGCCGGAAGACCAAGGGUUCCUGUCCAACGUUAAUCGGGGCAGGGUGAGUCGACCCCUAAGGCGAGGCCGAAAGGCGUAGUCGAUGGGAAACAGGUUAAUAUUCCUGUACUUGGUGUUACUGCGAAGGGGGGACGGAGAAGGCUAUGUUGGCCGGGCGACGGUUGUCCCGGUUUAAGCGUGUAGGCUGGUUUUCCAGGCAAAUCCGGAAAAUCAAGGCUGAGGCGUGAUGACGAGGCACUACGGUGCUGAAGCAACAAAUGCCCUGCUUCCAGGAAAAGCCUCUAAGCAUCAGGUAACAUCAAAUCGUACCCCAAACCGACACAGGUGGUCAGGUAGAGAAUACCAAGGCGCUUGAGAGAACUCGGGUGAAGGAACUAGGCAAAAUGGUGCCGUAACUUCGGGAGAAGGCACGCUGAUAUGUAGGUGAAGUCCCUCGCGGAUGGAGCUGAAAUCAGUCGAAGAUACCAGCUGGCUGCAACUGUUUAUUAAAAACACAGCACUGUGCAAACACGAAAGUGGACGUAUACGGUGUGACGCCUGCCCGGUGCCGGAAGGUUAAUUGAUGGGGUCAGCGCAAGCGAAGCUCUUGAUCGAAGCCCCGGUAAACGGCGGCCGUAACUAUAACGGUCCUAAGGUAGCGAAAUUCCUUGUCGGGUAAGUUCCGACCUGCACGAAUGGCGUAAUGAUGGCCAGGCUGUCUCCACCCGAGACUCAGUGAAAUUGAACUCGCUGUGAAGAUGCAGUGUACCCGCGGCAAGACGGAAAGACCCCGUGAACCUUUACUAUAGCUUGACACUGAACAUUGAGCCUUGAUGUGUAGGAUAGGUGGGAGGCUUUGAAGUGUGGACGCCAGUCUGCAUGGAGCCGACCUUGAAAUACCACCCUUUAAUGUUUGAUGUUCUAACGUUGACCCGUAAUCCGGGUUGCGGACAGUGUCUGGUGGGUAGUUUGACUGGGGCGGUCUCCUCCUAAAGAGUAACGGAGGAGCACGAAGGUUGGCUAAUCCUGGUCGGACAUCAGGAGGUUAGUGCAAUGGCAUAAGCCAGCUUGACUGCGAGCGUGACGGCGCGAGCAGGUGCGAAAGCAGGUCAUAGUGAUCCGGUGGUUCUGAAUGGAAGGGCCAUCGCUCAACGGAUAAAAGGUACUCCGGGGAUAACAGGCUGAUACCGCCCAAGAGUUCAUAUCGACGGCGGUGUUUGGCACCUCGAUGUCGGCUCAUCACAUCCUGGGGCUGAAGUAGGUCCCAAGGGUAUGGCUGUUCGCCAUUUAAAGUGGUACGCGAGCUGGGUUUAGAACGUCGUGAGACAGUUCGGUCCCUAUCUGCCGUGGGCGCUGGAGAACUGAGGGGGGCUGCUCCUAGUACGAGAGGACCGGAGUGGACGCAUCACUGGUGUUCGGGUUGUCAUGCCAAUGGCACUGCCCGGUAGCUAAAUGCGGAAGAGAUAAGUGCUGAAAGCAUCUAAGCACGAAACUUGCCCCGAGAUGAGUUCUCCCUGACUCCUUGAGAGUCCUGAAGGAACGUUGAAGACGACGACGU